rnacentral:snRNA from 1 species
GUGCUCGCUUUGGCAGCACAUAUACUAAAAUUGGAACGAUACAGAGAAGAUUAGCAUGGCCCCUGCAUAAGGAUGACACACAAAUUUGUGAAGCAUUCCAUAUUUUU